CUUAAUGAGAGUUUGAUCCUGGCUCAGGACGAACGCUGGCGGCGUGCCUAAUACAUGCAAGUAGAACGCUGAGGACUGGUGCUUGCACCGGUCCAAGGAGUUGCGAACGGGUGAGUAACGCGUAGGUAACCUACCUCAUAGCGGGGGAUAACUAUUGGAAACGAUAGCUAAUACCGCAUAAAAGUGUUUAACCCAUGUUAAACAUUUAAAAGGUGCAACUGCAUCACUAUGAGAUGGACCUGCGUUGUAUUAGCUAGUUGGUGAGGUAACGGCUCACCAAGGCGACGAUACAUAGCCGACCUGAGAGGGUGAUCGGCCACACUGGGACUGAGACACGGCCCAGACUCCUACGGGAGGCAGCAGUAGGGAAUCUUCGGCAAUGGACGGAAGUCUGACCGAGCAACGCCGCGUGAGUGAAGAAGGUUUUCGGAUCGUAAAGCUCUGUUGUUAGAGAAGAAUGAUGGUGGGAGUGGAAAAUCCACCAUGUGACGGUAACUAACCAGAAAGGGACGGCUAACUACGUGCCAGCAGCCGCGGUAAUACGUAGGUCCCGAGCGUUGUCCGGGAUUUAUUGGGCGUAAAGCGAGCGCAGGCGGUUCUUUAAGUCUGAAGUUAAAGGCAGUGGCUCAACCAUUGUACGCUUUGGAAACUGGAGAACUUGAGUGCAGAAGGGGAGAGUGGAAUUCCAUGUGUAGCGGUGAAAUGCGUAGAUAUAUGGAGGAACACCGGUGGCGAAAGCGGCUCUCUGGUCUGUAACUGACGCUGAGGCUCGAAAGCGGUGGGGAGCAAACAGGAUUAGAUACCCUGGUAGUCCACGCCGUAAACGAUGAGUGCUAGGUGUUAGGCCCUUUCCGGGGCUUAGUGCCGGAGCUAACGCAUUAAGCACUCCGCCUGGGGAGUACGACCGCAAGGUUGAAACUCAAAGGAAUUGACGGGGGGCCCGCACAAGCGGGUGGAGCAUGUGGUUUAAUUCGAAGCAACGCGAAGAACCUUACCAGGUCUUGACAUCCUCCUGACCGGUCUAGAGAUAGGCUUUCCCUUCGGGGCAGGAGUGACAGGUGGUGCAUGGUUGUCGUCAGCUCGUGUCGUGAGAUGUUGGGUUAAGUCCCGCAACGAGCGCAACCCCUAUUGUUAGUUGCCAUCAUUAAGUUGGGCACUCUAGCGAGACUGCCGGUAAUAAACCGGAGGAAGGUGGGGAUGACGUCAAAUCAUCAUGCCCCUUAUGACCUGGGCUACACACGUGCUACAAUGGUUGGUACAACGAGUCGCAAGCCGGUGACGGCAAGCUAAUCUCUUAAAGCCAAUCUCAGUUCGGAUUGUAGGCUGCAACUCGCCUACAUGAAGUCGGAAUCGCUAGUAAUCGCGGAUCAGCACGCCGCGGUGAAUACGUUCCCGGGCCUUGUACACACCGCCCGUCACACCACGAGAGUUUGUAACACCCGAAGUCGGUGAGGUAACCUAUUAGGAGCCAGCCGCCUAAGGUGGGAUAGAUGAUUGGGGUGAAGUCGUAACAAGGUAGCCGUAUCGGAAGGUGCGGCUGGAUCACCUCCUUU
rnacentral:rRNA from 1 species